CUGGAUGGUUGCUAUCUGGUCGUACUUGAGCCCCCUGGACCAUGUCUGCAAAUGCUUCUGAACAUUGACAGAAUUUCUAAAGGAUCGCUGAGGACUCCCCCUCCAUGCGUGACAUCUUUGAGAAAUUUCCACGCUUUCUGGAGAUGCCAAGUUUGACUGGAACCAACUUUGCAUCCCUCGGCACUGACACUGAGAAGGUUUCAAGGACCCCACUACUAGGAGGCGAGAGUUUGACAGGG